UACGUAGGGGGCAAGCGUUGUCCGGAUUUAUUGGGCGUAAAGAGCGUGUAGGCGGCCUGAAAGGUCAGCUGUGAAAACUCGAGGCUCAACCUCGAGACGUCGGUUGAAACCAUCUGGCUAGAGUCCGGAAGAGGAGUGUGGAAUUCCCGGUGUAGCGGUGAAAUGCGCAGAUAUCGGGAAGAACACCCGUGGCGAAGGCGGCACUCUGGGACGGUACUGACGCUGAGGAGCGAAAGCAUGGGGAGCGAACAGG
rnacentral:rRNA from 1 species